CCCAUUGUCCAACCCCUUCCCACACCAGUAUGGACCAGUAUAGACCAGUAUAGACCAGUAUGGACCAGUAUAGACCAGUAUGGACCAGUAGAAACCAGUAUAGACCAAUAGGGACCAGUAUGGACCAAUAGGGACCCAUAGUGGUCAAUAGAGACCCAUAGGAACCAAUAGAAGACCCCAGGAGAGCCCAUUGUCCAACCCCUUCCCACACCAGUAUGGACCAGUAUAGACCAGUAUGGACCAGUAUAAACCAGUAUGGACCAGUAGAAACCAGUAUGGACCAAUAGGGACCCAUAGUGGUCAAUAGAGAGCCAUAGGAACCAAUAGAAGAUCCCAGGAGAACCCAUUGUCCAACCCCUUCCAACACCAGUAUGGACCAGUAUGGACCAGUAUAAACCAGUAUGGACCAGUAUAGACCAGUAUGGACCAGUAGGAACCAGUAUAGACCAGUAUGGACCAGUAUGGACCAGUAUAGAACAGUAUGGGCCACAACGGACCCAUAGAGGUCAAUAGAGACCCAUAGGAACCAAUAGAAGAUCCCAGGAGAGCCCAUUGUCCAACCCAUUCCAACACCAGUAUGGACCAGUAUGGACCAGUAUAGACCAGUAUAGACCAGUAUAGACCAGUAUGGACCAGUAGAAACCAGUAUGGACCAGUAGAAACCAGUAUAGACCAAUAGAGACCCAUAGGGGUCAAUAGAGAGCCAUAGGAACCAAUAGAAGAUCCCAGGAGAACCCAUUGUCCAACCCAUUCCAACACCAGUAUGGACCAGUAUGGACCAGUAUAAACCAGUAUGGACCAGUAUAGACCAGUAUGGACCAGUAGAAACCAGUAUAGACCAAUAGGGACCCAUAGAGGUCCAUAGAGAGCCAUAGGAAUCAAUAGAAGAUGCCAGGAGAGCCCAUUGUUGCACCCCUAUCAAACACCAGUAUAGACCAGUAUAGACCAGUAUGGACCAGUAUGGACCAGUAUAGACCACUAUGGACCAGUAUAAACCAGUAUGGACCAAUAGGGACCAGUAUGGGCCACAACGGACCCAUAGGGGUCAAUAGAGACCCAUAGGAACCAAUAGAAGAUCCCAGGAGAACCCAUUGUCCAACCCCUUCCCACACCAGUAUGGACCAGUAUGGACCAGUAUGAACCAGUAUGGACCAGUAUAGACCAG
ensembl:lncRNA